rnacentral:ncRNA from 1 species
ACGCUUUUGUUUUAGAUAUUGCAUCAUGGUGAAUAAAGCGAAUGCCAUCGCUCCAUGAACUUGAUGGGAACUCAUAGACAAUUUAUGGGAUACUGUAGAUUGGAUGUGUUUUAUGAUUGGUGACAAUCAUAAUGAAGAUUCUAAAUGGAAUCAAAAGAAGUCAUGUUGCAUCACUAGUAUGAAUGUAAAAACAGUGAACUUAUCGCGGUGAUAAUAGACGCUCCAGUGGAGAAUAACCCGUGGACCCCUUUUCGUAGCUGAAAUUGAAACAAUUCGGGAAUGCUAAAGCAAACCGUUUGUCGUGAAACUGUAGAAAUAUAGUUAUAAGAUAAGUAGCACGUACAUAGCUCAAAAGACAGUUUUUGAUAACUUAGAUAUAAAGUUGUAUAUUAUUCUAAAUGCUGAAUGGUGAGUAAAUGUUGCGGGUAUCAAUCCCGUCCAGUCUAGUUCGUAAGAAUUGGUGAAAUGCAUAAAGGUAGCUCCUCUAUGUACAGCUUCAUCAAACUGGUUGUUGAAAAUACAUGUUUAUUAGUUGAGUAAGUAGAAAUACUGCAAUAUCAUGUCGUCAUAG